UACGGAGGGUGCAAGCGUUAUCCGGAUUCACUGGGUUUAAAGGGUGCGUAGGCGGAUAGGUAAGUCCGUGGUGAAAUCCUGCAGCUUAACUGCAGAACUGCCAUGGAUACUAUUUAUCUUGAAUAUCGUGGAGGUUAGCGGAAUAUGUCAUGUAGCGGUGAAAUGCUUAGAUAUGACAUAGAACACCCAUUGCGAAGGCAGCUAACUACGCGAUAAUUGACGCUGAUGCACGAAAAGCGUGGGGAUCAAACAGG
rnacentral:rRNA from 1 species